rnacentral:rRNA from 1 species
UAGGGAAUCUUCCGCAAUGGGCGAAAGCCUGACGGAGCAACGCCGCGUGAGUGAUGAAGGUCUUCGGAUCGUAAAACUCUGUUAUUAGGGAAGAACAAAUGUGUAAGUAACUAUGCACGUCUUGACGGUACCUAAUCAGAAAGCCACGGCUAACUACGUGCCAGCAGCCGCGGUAAUACGUAGGUGGCAAGCGUUAUCCGGAAUUAUUGGGCGUAAAGCGCGCGUAGGCGGGUUUUUAAGUCUGAUGUGAAAGCCCACGGCUCAACCGUGGAGGGUCAUUGGAAACUGGAAAACUUGAGUGCAGAAGAGGAAAGUGGAAUUCCAUGUGUAGCGGUGAAAUGCGCAGAGAUAUGGAGGAACACCAGUGGCUAAGGCGACUUUCUGGUCUGUAACUGACGCUGAUGUGCGAAAGCGUGGGGAUCAAACAGG